rnacentral:tRNA from 3 species
UGGGAAUUAGCCAAGCGGUAAGGCAAGAGACUUUGACUCUCUGAUGCGGUAGUUCGAAUCUAUCAUUCCCAG